UACGUAGGGGGCGAGCGUUGUCCGGAUUCAUUGGGCGUAAAGAGCUCGUAGGCGGCUUGGCAAGUCGGGUGUGAAAACUUCAGGCUCAACCUGGAGCGGCCACUCGAUACUGCCAUGGCUUGAGUCCGGUAGGGGACCACGGAAUUCCUGGUGUAGCGGUGAGAUGCGCAGAUAUCAGGAGGAACACCGGUGGCGAAGGCGGCGACCUGGGCAGAUACUGACGCUGAGGUGCGAAAGCGUGGGGAGCAAACAGG
rnacentral:rRNA from 1 species